rnacentral:rRNA from 1 species
AGAGUUUGAUCCUGGCUCAGGAUGAACGCUAGCUACAGGCUUAACACAUGCAAGUCGAGGGGCAGCAUGAACUUAGCUUGCUAAGUUUGAUGGCGACCGGCGCACGGGUGAGUAACACGUAUCCAACCUGCCGAUGACUCGGGGAUAGCCUUUCGAAAGAAAGAUUAAUACUCGAUGGCAUAGUUCUUCCGCAUGGUAGAGCUAUUAAAGAAUUUCGGUCAUCGAUGGGGAUGCGUUCCAUUAGGUUGUUGGCGGGGUAACGGCCCACCAAGCCUUCGAUGGAUAGGGGUUCUGAGAGGAAGGUCCCCCACAUUGGAACUGAGACACGGUCCAAACUCCUACGGGAGGCAGCAGUGAGGAAUAUUGGUCAAUGGACGAGAGUCUGAACCAGCCAAGUAGCGUGAAGGAUGACUGCCCUAUGGGUUGUAAACUUCUUUUAUAAAGGAAUAAAGUCGGGUAUGUAUACCCGUUUGCAUGUACUUUAUGAAUAAGGAUCGGCUAACUCCGUGCCAGCAGCCGCGGUAAUACGGAGGAUCCGAGCGUUAUCCGGAUUUAUUGGGUUUAAAGGGAGCGUAGGCGGACGCUUAAGUCAGUUGUGAAAGUUUGCGGCUCAACCGUAAAAUUGCAGUUGAUACUGGGUGUCUUGAGUACAGUAGAGGCAGGCGGAAUUCGUGGUGUAGCGGUGAAAUGCUUAGAUAUCACGAAGAACUCCGAUUGCGAAGGCAGCCUGCUGGACUGUAACUGACGCUGAUGCUCGAAAGUGUGGGUAUCAAACAGGAUUAGAUACCCUGGUAGUCCACACAGUAAACGAUGAAUACUCGCUGUUUGCGAUAUACAGUAAGCGGCCAAGCGAAAGCGUUAAGUAUUCCACCUGGGGAGUACGCCGGCAACGGUGAAACUCAAAGGAAUUGACGGGGGC